GGGCAGUUNNNNNCCUCUCGCUUUUAGAUGGGCCUAAGUCGGAUUANCNNNNNGGUNNNGUAAAGGCCUACCAUGGCGACGAUCUGUAGCUGGUCUGAGAGGNNGAUCAGCCNNNNNNGNNNUGAGACACGGCCCCGGAUUCCUACGGGAGGCAGCAGUGGGGAAUAUUGGACAAUGGGGGAAACCCUGAUCCAGCCAUGCCGCGUGUGUGAAGAAGGCCUUUUGGUUGUAAAGCACUUUAAGCAGUGAAGAAGACUCCGUGGUUAAUACCCACGGACGAUGACAUUAGCUGCAGAAUAAGCACCGGCUAACUCUGUGCCAGCAGCCGCGGUAAUACAGAGGGUGCAAGCGUUAAUCGGAAUUACUGGGCGUAAAGCGAGCGUAGGUGGCUUGAUAAGUCAGAUGUGAAAUCCCCGGGCUUAACCUGGGAACUGCAUCUGAAACUGUUAGGCUAGAGUAGGUGAGAGGGAGGUAGAAUUUCAGGUGUAGCGGUGAAAUGCGUAGAGAUCUGAAGGAAUACCGAUGGCGAAGGCAGCCUCCUGGCAUCAUACUGACACUGAGGCUCGAAAGCGUGGGUAGCAAACAGGAUUAGAUACCCUGGUAGUCCACGCCGUAAACGAUGUCUACUAGUCGUUGGGUCCCUUGAGGACUUAGUGACGCAGCUAACGCAAUAAGUAGACCGCCUGGGGAGUACGGCCGCAAGGUUAAAACUCAAAUGAAUUGACGGGGGCCCGCACAAGCGGUGGAGCAUGUGGUUUAAUUCGAUGCAACGCGAAGAACCUUACCUGGUCUUGACAUAUCUAGAAUCCUGCAGAGAUGCGGGAGUGCCUUCGGGAAUUAGAAUACAGGUGCUGCAUGGCUGUCGUCAGCUCGUGUCGUGAGAUGUUGGGUUAAGUCCCGCAACGAGCGCAACCCUUGUCCUUAGUUACCAGCGGGUUAAGCCGGGAACUCUAAGGAUACUGCCAGUGACAAACUGGAGGAAGGCGGGGACGACGUCAAGUCAUCAUGGCCCUUACGACCAGGGCUACACACGUGCUACAAUGGUAGGUACAGAGGGCAGCUACACAGCGAUGUGAUGCGAAUNNCAAAAAGCCUAUCGUAGUCCAGAUUGGAGUCUGCAACUCGACUNNANGAAGUAGGAAUCGCUAGUAAUCG
rnacentral:rRNA from 1 species